rnacentral:rRNA from 1 species
GAUGAACGCUGGCGGCGUGCCUAAUACAUGCAAGUCGAGCGAACAGACGAGGAGCUUGCUCCUCUGACGUUAGCGGCGGACGGGUGAGUAACACGUGGAUAACCUACCUAUAAGACUGGGAUAACUUCGGGAAACCGGAGCUAAUACCGGAUAAUAUAUUGAACCGCAUGGUUCAAUAGUGAAAGACGGUUUUGCUGUCACUUAUAGAUGGAUCCGCGCCGCAUUAGCUAGUUGGUAAGGUAACGGCUUACCAAGGCAAGGAUGCGUAGCCGACCUGAGAGGGUGAUCGGCCACACGGGAACUGAGACACGGUCCAGACUCCUACGAGAGGCAGCAGUAGGGAAUGUUCCGCAAUGGGCGAAAGCCUGACGGAGCAACGCCGCGUGAGUGAUGAAGGUCUUCGGAUCGUAAAACUCUGUUAUUAGGGAAGAACAAAUGUGUAAGUAACUAUGCACGUCUUGACGGUACCUAAUCAGAAAGCCACGGCUAACUACGUG